CUUUAGUACGGUCUUUUUGCCUAGGCGUCGUUGAACGUGCCGGGGUGGAAGGAAGGAGAGGAGGGCACACGAAGGAAGGGGUAGCGGCGCUCAGCUGGGCCGGAGACCAGCAGAGGGCGCGAUGACGUUCGGCGGCGGGUGGAGGAGACGGCCUGCGGUACCGGUAGCUCGUUUCGAGGCAGCCUGGAAGGGCUGGUCUAGCUGCUACUGCUGUUCGCCUAGACGGGGGGUGCUUCUCCAUCUUUCGUGCCCCCUCCGCCGCCGCCGGGGUCACCCGCGGCUGCUUCGGGCGGUCGCGGCGGUCCUCCUACUCGGGCGGAUCCUACCUGUGCCCGGUCGCGCUUGAGGUUGGGGGCGGGUAGGGGUACGCAUGCGCUAGUCUGGGGGCUCCGCUACUGCCCCUGCUGCGUCUACAGGCGCAGUGCGGGUGGCACUACAACCCCUAGUGGGGGUACAGACCUACGAGUUCGACACGAUGACGACGACUGGGUCUGACAUAUGUAUGAACACGAUACUUCGGUGUACUUAAGAAGGUUCUACUAGAUUGGUUCACUUUAGCAACUAAACCACUAACUGAAGAGCCGAAGUACCACACCCGGGACGGUUGCGUAGUUUGGCCGGAACUCUACCGGGGACGAAGGAGCUGCGGUAGUGGUGCAGUUGUUCGAGUCCUAACCUUUGUAACUGGGACUGACAUCUAACCGGAAGUUGAGAUACUACCCAACAAAAAAAUCUCCUGAUACUACCUAACAAAUUCCGUGAUGAUUGGAGAACAUGUACACACGUAUAACCCUGUUACUACUAAAAAGAACCCCUAUUUAAUAACGGCUCCUCCAACUCGUCUCUAUCAAUCCACCUUGUAUGCCUCUGAUUAUACAGGUGGUUUUACAACUCAUUGUAGAACUCCCACCCCAACUCGCAGUACUGGCUCCUGUCGUACCCGUUAACUAAUCGACGAACAUCGGCUGAUGAACUACUCCAAAUACUGUAGUGGUUAGUGUAUUCGUGAAUGGUAGUCCACACGUAACUGGGAACUCUUCCGAACUUGUUGUAGUAUAACCGAACACUAACAGAGAGGCGCCAACUCGCGUGGUUAAGGAGGUGAUAGCUGGUUAACGACCAACCACAGCCAUACCUCCUAUAGUUUCGGUACAGUACGAGAAACCGUAUUCACUGAACAAGAGUGUAAUCAUAGAAUCGAGUAGCUAAACUUGAAAAACAUACAAGAGCUCACGUGGUCACAGUUAAAAACAUCUACCUCUGCACGCAACGUGCACGUGUAAAUGAUCAUUAAUAUCUAUUCCUGAAAACCGAAUUCGGAGGAAAUAGAGAACAAUUCUGUACAGAAGAGACAGCAAGAAGAACUGUGUGC
rnacentral:rRNA from 1 species